rnacentral:rRNA from 1 species
UACGUAGGGUGCGAGCGUUGUCCGGAAUUAUUGGGCGUAAAGAGCUUGUAGGCGGUUGUCGCGUCUGCUGUGAAAAUCCGGGCUCAACCCGGACUUGCAGUGGGUACGGCAGACUAGAGUGUGGUAGGGGAGACUGGAAUUCCUGGUGUAGCGGUGAAAUGCGCAGAUAUCAGGAGGAACACCGAUGGCGAAGGCAGGUCUCUGGGCCACUACUGACGCUGAGAAGCGAAAGCAUGGGGAGC